UGCUGUCUAUCUACAACUGCAAAAAAAAAUUAAUAAAAAUAAAAUACAAAAUAGGGCUGGAGAUGUGGCUCAGUGGUCGAGUGCCCCUGAGUUCAAUCCCCAGUACCUAAAUAAAAAGUCAGGUACAGUAAUGCCAAAUCAAUAAGGGUUGCCUGUAAUGGUUCACUUUAUGUGUUACCCUGACUAGGCAGUGGUGCCCAGCUGUUUGCUCAAACACUAGAGUAAGUGUUGCUGCAGAUGUAAUCAGCAUCUACAGAAAAUUGCCUUUGAUAAGAUUAGCCUUGGGGCUGGAGUCAUGGCUCAGUGGUAGAGCACUCGCCUAGCAUGUAUGAGGCACUGAGUUAUAUUCUCAGCACCACAUAUAAAUAAAUAAAAUUUUUUAAAAAAGAUUAUCCUUGAUAAUGUAGAUGUGUCUCAUCCAUUCAAUGGAAGGCCUUAAGACUAAAGUUUUACAGGGAAGGGGAAGGAAUUUCACCUCUAAACUGACACAGAAAUUCUACCAGAAUUCCUAUCUUGCCAGACCCCACAAUCAUAUGAGCCAAUUCCUUUAAGUCCCUUUAAAAAUAUAUCUGUGGGGCUGGGAUUAUGGCUCAGCAGUAGAGGGCUCGCCUAGCAUGCGUGGGGUCCUGGGUUUGAUCCUCAGCACCACAUAAAAAUAAAUGAAUGGAAUAAAGGUAUUGUGUCCAACUACAACUAAAAUAUAUAUAUCUGUAUCUAUCUCCUGUUAGAUCUGUGUGAGUGGAAAACUGCUUCAAUUAGUUUCUCUUGUUUUUUGUAGUUUCACACUUAGAAAUACAAAGGAUAUUUCCCUUAGGAGCAAAAUAUCCCUUACCAAAUAUUCCUUAUCAAAUAUUCCUUCCCUUGCCCCUCUCCCGUUAUAAUUGAGAGAUUCACCUCUAUUUUGCCCAGGUGUAGCCAUUCAGCUACUGAUGGACUUUAGAAUAGGUCGGCCCAUGUGCCCAUCUGAAGGUCCUUAUCAGACAUCACCAGUAGGUGGCGCUAAAACAGCUCCUAUAAAGCUUUGAAGGGCUCUAACUUCAAAAGUCCCAGGUGUAAGCAACCUCUGAAAUUUUCUGUGGACUGCAACAGCAGCAGUGUCUUGUCGAAUUGGAAAUGAAAUCUUUACAUUUUAAAUCUGACACUAUUUGACUGAAUCAACUUGGCCUGUUUAUUGAGGACACAGGAGGUCUGGAUGUGUUGCUUUGCACUGAGUCUAGCACUAGGGAGCAUAGACGCCUUAGAAGGGCCUGAGGCUUCACCCUGUUUGCUAGCUAGUGAGUUGGGCUGUCAGUUCCUUGGGUACUGGAAGAAGCUGUGCAAUUCUUCCCAACAGUAGUAGUAGCCAGAGUAUUCGUAUUUCUUGCCCCUGAGCGCAGGCAUAAUGAAGCUGGACAACACCAGCAUACUUAAGGUCUUAUAAUACAAGAGGAUCUCUGAGUUUGGAGACCCUGAAUAUUUGGUAAGAGAUAUUUUGCUCCUGAGGGAAAUAUCCUUUGUAUUUCUAAGUGUGAAAGCAAACUGCCUUUGAGUUGGAGAAAGACACCAUUGUUUGUCUUCCAAGACUUGACUUUACGUCCUUGAGAAGAUAAUCCAGAACAAGGGAAAACCAGUUCCUUGCUUGCAAGACAUGCAGAACUGCAGGACAUCCACCCACUGAGAGUUAUCUCACAACCAAAGGAGUGUGGAAGGCAAGGGAAAGUUGGGAGGGCCAGGAAGAGCUCUAAACUGGGAAGCCACUCUUAUGGACAAGCAGUACCUUUGGGCUGGGGAUGGAGGACUUGAUGUCUUUCCUUUGAAGGGGUCAGAUGUGGCUGCAGAAUGACAUCUCUAGCCUCUUGAGCACUGAUCUUGAUCCUCCAAGCCAGGAGGCUGCAAUCUGGGCAGUAGUGGAUGCCUGAGGUCUGCAGUCUUGGGGGUGCUCCUGUCUGAACCUAUGGGGAGCAACAUUCUCUCUCUUCUCCAGCAGGCUGUCACACAGACACCCUUGGGCUCUCACUCUUGAGCUUAGAGGAGAGAACCUAUCUCACCAGGAGCAGCCCUGGGGCAUGUUUUCCUUUCUGAAUGAAGCAGAAGAAGAGGGAGAAGGUGGUGCUACAGCUCCUACAAAGUCCGAGUUUCCUCAUGGAGGCAUGAGGAAGCAGCCCUUGAAUGGGAUGAGGGGUGAGCCUCAUCCCAUUCAACCACUUUGAAGCAAAGUGGUUGUCUUCAAGCUACUUCAAGACUGGCCAGUCUCAGCCAUAACCUGCAGGAAAGACAGGCCCUUAGUGACAUUUAUGACAAGAAUUUAGUGCUCAAGCAACACAACAGAAGACAGUUUUGUGUCCCUCCUUAGAUUGGUUGGGCUGGAGUGUGAGGUUCAGAUGAUGGAUCCCGGCCAAGGAUGCAAUACAGACAAGACCAGGGACCUUUGUGUUCACCCCGCAGGCCGAGGGGAGCAAGUCCACCCGUGGGGAAACAGUUGACUGCAGGAACGUCCUGGAAGAAACCAGAAGACUGAGAGUGCAGGGAAGAAUUAACAGCCCCUUUCCCUGUGUUCUUUACCAUGUAAGCUCUUGGAGACAGAGAGUGCAGGCAUAGGAGGGGCUGUGGUGGGUCCUCCAGCACACGUUAUUCCAACUCUGCUGGUGCCCACUUCUCAUCCUCACAUACUAGGAGAGCUGAGAACACGAGCCUCUAAAGUCUUGCUCCCUGUCCUCCACCUCCUGUCCCAUUAGUAGCAAAGGACAGUGGCUGUUCUCAAGUUCUCACACUGUAACGGGGCUUGCUGUCCUGGGACCUGAGAAGGGAAAUUAAGUUCUCUGUUAAUGCGAUCACCACCCCUGGGCCUGGUUAUCUGGGACAGCUGAUGUAAUGCUGUCAUCUGGGGAGAUGACAAGCAUUUUGUAGGUCACUUUUAAAAAAUCGUUUGAGACAAAAGAGGAAACUUUCUAAGUCCUUUGGGUUGCAGUGUUUGGCAUAAGGAUUUUGUUCUCUUUUUGACAUCUGAAAAAAGUACAUUUCCCAAAAGGACAGUGAAGUAAGCUGAAAAAUCAUCCUCUCAAAUACAUCCCCAUCCGAAUUCCCAGGACUGGUGAAUGGGUCACCUUAUGUGAUGAAGGAACUCUGCAGGUGGGAUUAGGACAAAGAUCCUGAGAUGGGGAUGGAGGAGGAUCAGAGUCAGAGAAGAAGGUGAUGUCACGAGAAGCAGAAAGUAUAGAGAAGCGACCAUGAGCCAAGAGAUGUGGCCAGUCUCUAGAAAUUGGAAGAGGCAAGGGAGAUACUGUGGUCCAAGUGAUUGUAUCCUCCAAAUUUGUGUGUUCCAUUUGAACCCCCCAAAGUGAUGGCAUGACAAAAUGGAGCUUUAGGGACGUCAGGAGGGUGGAACCUCAUGGUUGAGAUUAGCAUCCUGAUAAAAGACAGCCAGCCCUCUUGUCUACCAUUGAAGUUACAGGGAGAAGACGAACCCCCACCACACAUCAAAUUUACCUUGAUCUUGGACUUUCCAAGCUCUGGAACUGUGAGAAAUACAUUUCUGUUGCUUAUAAGUCGUCCAAUUGAUGCCAUUUUGCUGUAGCUGCCCCAACAGAUUAUGAAGGAAAGAUGUUCUCCUGGAACUUCUAGAGGAACACAGUACUACCAGCGUUUUGGUUUUUAGCCCCUUAAGACUAACUUUGAACCUCUGAUGUUCAGAAUGUAAAAGCAUAAAUUGAGGUUGUUCCAAGCUACGUGUGUGAGAGCUUGUCACAAGGCGAGCACUGGGUUUUAGUGAAAGGGGCUCCGGAGUCCUCCCCACCUUAGGACCUUGUGCCGCCUGAGCCCUGCUCCUCAGCUGCACUGCUCACUGGACAUGCGUGGGGGAAGUCGUGAAAGUCCUCUUACCCACGAUCUGCCCAGGUCACCCUGCAUUGUCAUCAUGGAUGAGUUUUUUCUGUUUUCGGACUUGAUGUAAAUGGUAUCACAAGGCAUUUCUGGUUUUGGUGGGUCUGCUUCUUUUGCUUGAAAUUAGGUUUUUGAGAUUCUUCCAUGUGGUUGUAUAUCUAUUUUUACUGCUGAGUAAUGUUUGAUAUAUGGAUAUAUCACAACUUGCUUAUCCAUAUCAAUAUUGAUGUAUUUGGGAGUUGUUAGCAGUUUGGGGCUGCUAUGAAUAGAACUUAGAGGGACUCUACUUAUUUACUUAUUUUUACCAAGUUGAGGAUCCCCUCCAGGGUCUUGCUCUACCACUAGACUCCAUCCCAGGCCCUGCGUCCUGAUUUUAAAGCAUGGCUACACUGUCUUUGACACGCCUGCAUCAGACGUGGUCUUUAUGUCCCCUCCUGCCGUAGCCCACAGGCUUGUGAUUGCUUCAGUUCACAGAGAAUAGCGGCAGGGACAACAUUGUGGACUGAAUCCUGCCCCCCCCCCACCACCAUUCCUAUGUUGAAGCUCUACCCCUCAGUAUUACUGUAUUUGCAAGGAGAGCCUUUAGGGAAGUAAUUAAGGAUUAACAAGUUCAUAGAACAGGACCUAAUUCAAUAGGCCUCAUGUUGCAUAAAAGGAAAAAAAACAAAUAUAGCACAUUCUCCCUCAUUUGUGGAAGCUAAAGAAAUUUGGCCACUUACAAGUAGAGAGUAGAAUAGAGGUGACUAGAAGCCAGGAAGGGGAGUGGGAGGGCACAGUGACAGGAGGAUCAUGGGUACCACUGCAGUUAGGGUGGAAGUAGUUCUAAUGGAAUAGGGUAACUAGGGCUACAAUGUUACCCAUUUCAACCUAACUAGAGGAGAGCGGUGUGAAGGGUCCCAACGGGCAGAAAUGUUACCAUCCCAGGAAAUGGCUGUGCUAAUUACCUGAUUAUUCAUGUACUGAAUUACAAUACGUAUCCUAUAUGUACAAAUAUUAUAUACCAAUUAAAAAUUAGAAACAAAAAGAGAGAUCUCUCCCUCUCCCUCCACAUGGAGGGAAAGACAAAAGUGGACAUCCGUUAGCUGCCACCCCACCCUGGUGGCACCUUGACCUUGGACUGCCCAGCCUUGAGAACUGUGAGAGAGCAAGUACCUGUGGCUCAUUCCCAGCCUGCGGCACAGCAGGAUAACCACACAGACUAGCAUGGACAGUGUGGCUCUUCAGGGGAUACAAUUCAUAAGGCCAUGUAAACAAAAGGGCCAGGCAGCUCUUUGACUGAGCAGCCAUGGGAAAAGUCUGGGACCCUGAGACCACCACAAGGAUGGACACUGGUUGAAAGUCCUGGCGCAGCCUUAGGCCAGAUGGGUGAAUGAGCCAUCUGGGGACCAGCCAUGGCAGACGCUGGCCAUCCUGGGGCAGAUAAAGACUGCUGCACUGUGGCCCUUCUCUGUUCUGACCACAAGAUCUGUGAGCAGGAGAAAUGUUGGCCGUCGCCCCUGACCUUGGGAGGGUGUCAGUCUUUGGGAAACUGUACAGUAACUUCCAUGCCCACUCAGUAGGUGGGAGUGCAAUCCUUCAGGCGACAUGUUGACCUAUGUGGACUGGCCACAGCUCCCUGGCACAGCCCACUACCUGACACCCUCCACAGCUGGGAGUGACAGUUUCAGUUGCUCUGCAUCUUUGCCGACCCUGGGGGUGCUGGCCUCUUCAAUGUUAACCCUCCUGAUAUCUGAGCAGAGAAGUUGGCUGAUACCACCAGAUACCACCACCUAAGGGUUUGAGCCCCCAGAAGUGCAAACAGUUCCAUAUUGAACUAGGAAGAGCCACACUGAGCAGAGACCUGGCAGAAGCUACCAAUGCCCCAGGUUUCCUGCUGCUGGGUGCCCUGUCUCCCCCUUAGCCUCACGUCUGUUAUUCUGCUGCACAAAAGAUGGCACCUUUGGCCUGAGUACAACAGAGAGAUGGGAGUAAACCAAGCUAUCACAGACAAGGUCAGGAUGGUAAACGUUAACUCAUUUAAGGUCCAAAUUUUGGGAGAGAGAUUGGAAUCUAGGCCCACUUUUGGAACAGAGAGAAUAUUUCCAUUCAAUCUCCUGAGGUUUUCCUGCAUCAGGACCCUCCUGACGACGAUGAGAAUAGCAUAAGAGGAUAAUCUGCCAGGCAAUUAUUAAGUGUUUUCCGAAAGUGAUGCUGCUUUGCAAAAUGUUUUAAAAUAAAUUGAAUGUGCUCUUCCAUUUAGAGAUGAGGAGAAGCGUAUCAUUUGGCUUCAUUUAAUAAUGACUUAGAUGAUGGUAAGAAGAGCAAGUAAAUUCAAAUCAGAUUAUUGAUUUUCAAGACCAUAACAUAGAACUCCAUCCAGAGGAAAAAAAAUGACAUAUAUUUGUCUAUCUGAAGAAAUUUUUAUUCUUAGAAAGUUGCAUGAAAAACACACAUCAGCCACUGCUCGUGAUGAAUGAAGAAGUCGACUUUGUUAUUCAUGAAGUCCUCCUGGAGUCAGGACCUUCACAAUGAAUUACCAGGCAGCCAUUUUUCUCCAGUGACGCUGGAGGGUGACGUAAUGUGCUUUUAUGCACAGCUCCUGUUCCUGCCCGUUAAUGCUGCACCACCUCGUGACGGAUGUUUUCCAGGCAACUUAUAAAACUUGCUAAUAAUAACUCAGUAUCCAUUAUGUGACCUGCGGCAAUGAUGACAUUAGAUUCAAAAGUGAACCUCAGUCUACAGAUAUUUUUGUGAUUCACCCAUUUUGAGACUGAUUCCAUUCCUCACGUCAAAUUAAGGGUGUUUUACAAGUGAUGAGAAGGGAUAGCUACCAUCUUUUGAGCAGCAUGAAGGCAAUUGCUUCCUGGCUGCACCUACACCACAGUUUUGUCCAGGCUCUCCAUCAUCCAGACGUAAUGGAAGACCCAGAACCCGUGGCAGAUCCAGCUGACCAGCACCAUGUCAGACACUUCCCAGGCCCCACUUUCUGUCUGCCCUCCUUCCAUGUUUCAGGUUCCAGCUGCUCUGCAGGAAGCAGCUCUGUAUGGCUUCAGCUGGCCUCAGGCAGGAGCAGCCAAGCAGUGCUUUGUCUCUGUGUGCCCUCUGCCUGGGGUUCUCAGUCGGCUGAGGCAGGUUGCACAGAUUUAGUCCUCUCAGUGCCAGGAGGAUGGAGCAUUGCUUCCUGGGAGGUAAACUUCCAUCUGGUAGGACACAGGGUGGCCGGCUGGAGGCCCACUGUGUCACCUUAGCUCUUCCUUUUUUCAGUCUUGUGUCCUGGAUUGCACUCCCUGUGAGACGGGACCCGCUGGCUCUGCUCAGGCUCUGCCUUCUGGGUCUUCCAAACGAAAACAAGUGCACACCACUGGUGGAUAUUCCAUCUCCCUGCUUUCAUCUCCUCGUGAGGGUGCUUGGAAGAAUAAGCACAGAUCGUGUAGGGGACAGCAUUUGUGGAGGGCAGCGUCGCUGCAUUAUCCUGUUCCCCAUCAGGGCUCAACUUCAGGUUCCAUACUUUUUGGGUUUCCUACCAUCUAUUAUGUGCCAUGCCCUACAGCAAAGCAACACUAUCUGCUAGCCUUGACUCCUUGCAGUUGUUUGGUAUUUUUUCUUCAUUGUCGUACUUGGCUGGUCCUCCUUGCAACUAAGUCAAUAUGCACUUUGUGCAUCUCACUAACUCUUACUGGUGUGCCCUUAUUCGUUUUGUGCACACUUGGGACAUGUCUCUGUCAGUUGAAGCUUAUCAUCUCUGAGAAGUCUUCUUAAUUACCAGUGCUCCAUUACAAUACCCAAGUGAUGAGAUCUCACUUUAUUUUCAAACCAUUUAUGGGCUGAAGUGGGAUUUGGUAUAUGAGCAAGUGACCAAAGUAAUUCAAAAGGUAUACCUUUAUAAUUAUAUCGGAACUGAAAUGUUUGCUAUAAGAUAGAAUUUGGUAUUUGUCACAUUUGAUGCAUGUGUCACUUGGGUUUUUUUGGUUGCCAUCUUAAGCAUAGGCAGAAUUUAUUGGAAAGUUAUUGAGACUCAGAAUCAACAAGAAGCUAGAUAUCUGACUUGGAAAAUGGGUGGGAAGCAAGGGAGUGUUCUAGGCAAUGGAAACUGUACCAUUCAUUUGCUCAAUCAAUAAACAUUUAGUGAGCAUUUACUAUAUGCCAGGAAUUUUUACUAGUUUCCUGUUGGUGGUCAUUUGGAUUUCAAUCUGUUGCUGUUAUAAACAAUAUAAUAACAAAAUAAGAAAUUUAAAAAUUCAUUUUCUAAAUUGUAUUUCUUUAAUGAAAUCUUCUUGACUAAGCUUACUGCAAUUAAGCUCUUCAUUUGGGAGGUAUAUAUUUUCAGUACAGGUUUUUUGAACAGUAUAUAAUCCUGCACUGUACAAUGCCCACCUUCUUCCUUUGAAUGAUGUAUUGACUUUUGAAAAUGAGUCAUUAAAGCAAGAUAUUUAUGAUUCGUG